rnacentral:snRNA from 1 species
GUGCUGGCUUUGGCAGCACAUUUACUAAAAUUGGAAUGAUACAGAGAAGAUUAGCAUGGCCCCUGGGCAAGGAUGACACGCAAAUUCGUGAGGCUUACUGCUACUUG